UAGUUCAGUGGUAGAAUUCUUGCCUUCCAUGUGGGAGACCUGGGUUCAAUUCCCAG
rnacentral:tRNA from 1 species